UUUGAACCGAAUGCUCACCCCUAGGCCAGCCUAUUACAUGAAGUUCCUGACUAAUAAUAUUUCUCUGCCAUCUUUCAGUGGACACAAAAGUUGCCAAUUGUGAACUAAUGAAGCCAACUGAUUUUAACAUCGUGCAGUAUGAGUGGCAUCUAUCUAGGAUACCAACAUCUAAUGGUGAACUCAGCUAGAAAGAGAAAGCUAAUGUAAAUGAGAUGAGAAAUAAUGGGGCACCUAAUAGUUAAAAAUAUGAAAAUUUUGUGAAGAGUAGGAAGACAAAUAAAACUGGAAGAUGAACAAUAAAUGAAGACAAUUCUGGAACCAGAUGAUAGUAACAUAAAGAUUGCAUUUUCUCCAAAGUUCUUUCCUUAUAAAAAACCACUGUUUGCACAACCUUUAGUAAAUAUGCAAGAUGACUGGUGUACCAGCAAAAGAAAAAGUACAAAAAAAAGGACAAAAUAAUCACAUAACCAUGAAGCCACCCUUGCAAUUUUGGACAAGAUAUUCAGGAUUGCAAUUACAUCAUUGCCUCCAGCAUAUGUAAAACUAUCCUAAAGUGUGUCAGAAAAAUGCAACAAUAGAAAUGUAAUAGCAGCAGCAGCAGCAGAAA
rnacentral:misc_RNA from 1 species